CUGAAUAAGGGAUAUAUACAAAGAAAUUUGUGGCGGCUACUUUUGGGCACAAAGAGGGCUAAUUUUGGGAGCAACUUUUAGGCAUAAAGAGGUGCUGAAUUAAUAUAUAUACCCACCAAAAAGGACAGCCAGAUAGCUGUUUUUGAGGGGAAAAAAACCAUUGUGGCUAAUGGGUUGGAUUAUUUACAUGGUCAGGAACAGUUGGCAUUUGGAGAGAUAAAACACAGAUGGUUGAGGAGCUGGAAGGGAAAUAUUUUAUUUAGGCAUACAAGUUGGCGUUAACGCGAAAUUGCAACCACUAAUCACGUUUCAUCGUAUUUUAGUGGCGUUUUUCAUUCUUUCUUUGUUUAAUUUCGACAAUAUGGUUGGCUAAUUUUUUCUAUUGCUAGGAUGUAAUGAAC
rnacentral:lncRNA from 1 species